UACGUAGGGGGCAAGCGUUGUCCGGAUUUAUUGGGCGUAAAGAGCGUGUAGGCGGCUAGGUAGGUCCGUUGUGAAAACUCGAGGCUCAACCUCGAGACGUCGAUGGAAACCAUCUAGCUAGAGUCCGGAAGAGGAGAGUGGAAUUCCAGGUGUAGCGGUGAAAUGCGUAGAUAUCUGGAGGAACACCGGUGGCGAAGGCGGCAUCCUGGACCGGCAUUGACGCUGAGGCGCGAAAGCCAGGGGAGCAAACGGG
rnacentral:rRNA from 1 species